rnacentral:rRNA from 1 species
AUACCGGGCCUUUUUGGGCUUGGUAAUUGGAAUGAGGGUGAGUUAAACGGACCAUCGAGUAUCCAUUGGAGGGCAAGUCUGGUGCCAGCAGCUGCGGUAAUACCAGCUCCAAUAGCGUAUAUUAAAGUUGUUGCAGUUAAAAAGCUCGUAGUUGGACUUGUGUGCGCUGUCCGCGGGUGGCCUGCGCCCAAAAGGGCGUUUCGGUUCGGCCCCGGUGGCGCCUUGAAAUCUGCAGCUGGGGGGACGUUGGCCUUAACUGGUCGGCGACCGCACGCCGGCUGCUCGGUUACUGUGAGAAAAUUAGAGUGUUCAAGGCAGGCAUUGGGUGCAAUUGAAUACAUUAGCAUGGAAUAAUAAAAUAUGGCUCCUGCCGUAUUUUGUUGGUUUUGACUGGUGGGAGUAAUGAUUGAUAGGGACGGUUGGGGGUGCUAGUAUUGAGCGGCCAGAGGUGAAAUUCAAGGAUUCGCUCAAGACUAACUUAUGCGAAAGCAUUCACCAAGGACGUCCUCUUUAAUCAAGAACGAAAGUUGGGGGAUCGAAGACGAUCAGAUACCGUCGUAGUCUCAACCAUAAACUAUGUCGACUUGGGAUCGGCGGUAGUUUUUUCAUUAAGACACUGUCGGGACCACGGGAGAAAUCAAAGUGUCUGGACUCUGGGGGAAGUAUGGUCGCAAGGCUGAAACUUGAAGGAAUUGACGGAAGGGCACCACCAGGAGUGGAGCCUGCGGCUUAAUUUGACACAACACGGGGAAACUUACCAGGUCCAGAGAUGUAGAGGAUUGACAGAUUGAAGCUCUUUCUUGAUCACUUCGGUGGUGGUGCAUGGCCGUUCUUAGUUGGUGGAGUGAUUUGUCUGGUUAAUUCCGUUAACGAACGAGACCUCAGCCUGCUAGUGUAGUCGGCUGGAUUGCCUUUGGCGAUCCGUGAUUUCGACUUCUUAGAGGGACAAUCGACGCGCAGUCGAUGGAAGUUUGAGGCAAUAACAGGUCUGUGAUGCCCUUAGAUGUUCUGGGCCGCACGCGCGCUACACUGCUGGGCUCAGCGAGUUUUACUUGGCCGAGAGGCCCGGUUAAUCUUGUGAAAUCCCAGCGUGCUUGGGCUCGCCUCCUGCAACUGGAGGCGCCAACGAGGAAUUCCUAGUAGACGCAGGUCAUCAACCUGCAUCGAUUACGUCCCUGCCCUUUGUACACACCGCCCGUCGUUCCAUAAGAGUGAGGCAUCCGGUGAAUUCUCGGGAGAGCCUGGGCGUGGCCAGCAAUGGUCUGCUCGGGUUUGAACUUGCAUAAACUUGGUGCCUAUGAUUAGGG